CCCCUAGAUGUUCUGGGCCGCACGCGCGCUACACUGAACAGUUCAACAAGUCUUAACCUUGGCCGAUAGGUCUGGGUAAUCUUUGAACGCUGUUCGUGACUGGGAUAGACCUUUGCAAUUAUGGGUCUUCAACGAGGAAUUCCUAGUAAACGCAAGUCAUCAGCUUGCAUUGAUUACGUCCCUGCCCUUUGUACACACCGCCCGUCGCACCUACCGAUUGAAUGGUCCGGUGAAAUCUCGGGACGGCGGCUUGGUCGCUAGCGUCCGACUGCUGAAACUUGAUUAAACCAUAUCAUUUAGAGGAAGGUGAAGUCGUAACA
rnacentral:rRNA from 1 species